rnacentral:rRNA from 1 species
CCUCGCGCGAUUAGAGCGGCCGAUAUCUGAUUAGCUUGUUGGUGGGGUAAAAGCCCACCAAGGCGGCGAUCAGUAGCUGGUCUGAGAGGACGAUCAGCCACACUGGGACUGAGACACGGCCCAGACUCCUACGGGAGGCAGCAGUGGGGAAUUUUGGACAAUGGGCGAAAGCCUGAUCCAGCCAUGCCGCGUGAGUGAAGAAGGCCUUCGGGUUGUAAAGCUCUUUCGGCUGGGAAGAAAUCGCACAGGCUAAUACUCUGUGUGGAUGACGGUACCAGCACAAGAAGCACCGGCUAACUACGUG